UGUCUACUUAGGUUAUUUCAUGUUUAAACAGGUCCGCGAAUUCCUCAUUUUAUACGCAACAUACCCGUGAAAAAGAUUGUAAAUUACUGCGAUUCUGGGGGGGGGGGGGGGGGGGGGGGGGGGGGGGGGGGGGGGGGGGGGGGGGGGGGGGGGGGGGGGGGGGGGGGGGGGGGGGGGGGGGGGGGGGGGGGGGGGGGGGGGGGGGGGGGGGGGGGGGGGGGGGGGGGGGGGGGGGGGGGGGGGGGGGGGGGGGGGGGGGGGGGGGGGGGGGGGGGGGGGGGGGGGGGGGGGGGGGGGGGGGGGGGGGGGGGGGGGGGGGGGGGGGGGGGGGGGGGGGGGGGGGGGGGGGGGGGGGGGGGGGGGGGGGGGGGGGGGGGGGGGGGGGGGGGGGGGGGGGGGGGGGGGGGGGGGGGGGGGGGGGGGGGGGGGGGGGGGGGGGGGGGGGGGGGGGGGGGGGGGGGGGGGGGGGGGGGGGGGGGGGGGGGGGGGGGGGGGGGGGGGGGGGGGGGGGGGGGGGGGGGGGGGGGGGGGGGGGGGGGGGGGGGGGGGGGGGGGGGGGGGGGGGGGGGGGGGGGGGGGGGGGGGGGGGGGGGGGGGGGGGGGGGGGGGGGGGGGGGGGGGGGGGGGGGGGGGGGGGGGGGGGGGGGGGGGGGGGGGGGGGGGGGGGGGGGGGGGGGGGGGGGGGGGGGGGGGGGGGGGGGGGGGGGGGGGGGGGGGGGGGGGGGGGGGGGGGGGGGGGGGGGGGGGGGGGGGGGGGGGGGGGGGGGGGGGGGGGGGGGGGGGGGGGGGGGGGGGGGGGGGGGGGGGGGGGGGGGGGGGGGGGGGGGGGGGGGGGGGGGGGGGGGGGGGGGGGGGGGGGGGGGGGGGGGGGGGGGGGGGGGGGGGGGGGGGGGGGGGGGGGGGGGGGGGGGGGGGGGGGGGGGGGGGGGGGGGGGGGGGGGGGGGGGGGGGGGGGGGGGGGGGGGGGGGGGGGGGGGGGGGGGGGGGGGGGGGGGGGGGGGGGGGGGGGGGGGGGGGGGGGGGGGGGGGGGGGGGGGGGGGGGGGGGGGGGGGGGGGGGGGGGGGGGGGGGGGGGGGGGGGGGGGGGGGGGGGGGGGGGGGGGGGGGGGGGGGGGGGGGGGGGGGGGGGGGGGGGGGGGGGGGGGGGGGGGGGGGGGGGGGGGGGGGGGGGGGGGGGGGGGGGGGGGGGGGGGGGGGGGGGGGGGGGGGGGGGGGGGGGGGGGGGGGGGGGGGGGGGGGGGGGGGGGGGGGGGGGGGGGGGGGGGGGGGGGGGGGGGGGGGGGGGGGGGGGGGGGGGGGGGGGGGGGGGGGGGGGGGGGGGGGGGGGGGGGGGGGGGGGGGGGCCUCAAUUCUCUAAGGUACACUUGGCAUCAAAGUCAGGGAUUUGUAGGCAUAUAGUCAGGUGUAUGAUUAAACAAUUAUACCAAACAGGUGCUAAUGAUCA
rnacentral:lncRNA from 1 species